CGUCUCGAUGGACCAGGUCGGCCCCCGCGUCGUCCCCACGGUCCGGACGAUCCGCCGCGCGUUCGAGGCCCGCCGGGACGA
rnacentral:tRNA from 1 species